AUUGAACGCUGGCGGAAUGCUUUACACAUGCAAGUCGAACGGCAGCACGGACUUCGGUCUGGUGGCGAGUGGCGAACGGGUGAGUAAUGUAUCGGAACGUGCCCAGUCGUGGGGGAUAACGUAGUGAAAACUACGCUAAUACCGCAUACGAUCUAUGGAUGAAAGCGGGGGAUCGCAAGACCUCGCGCGAUUGGAGCGGCCGAUAUCAGAUUAGGUAGUUGGUGGGGUAAAGGCCCACCAAGCCAACGAUCUGUAGCUGGUCUGAGAGGACGACCAGCCACACUGGAACUGAGACACGGUCCAGACUCCUACGGGAGGCAGCAGUGGGGAAUUUUGGACAAUGGGCGAAAGCCUGAUUCAGCCAUUCCGCGUGCAGGAUGAAGGCCCUCGGGUUGUAAACUGCUUUUGUACAGAACGAAAAGGUUUCUACUAAUACUAGGAGCUCAUGACGGUACUGUAAGAAUAAGCACCGUCUAACUACGUGCCAGCAGCCGCCGUAA
rnacentral:rRNA from 1 species